rnacentral:lncRNA from 1 species
UGCAAGCAUGGAAACAGGAAGUAAAUCAUAUUGAAAAGUUAUUCAAGAAUAUAUAGAUAUGUAUGUGUGUCCAAUUUGGAUUGAUGAUUAUUUUGAUUUGAAAAUGCUUUCGAGCCAGCUUUUCAGUAUAUGUAAUUCAACUUUCCAGCAUAAGCAUGACCAUUAUCAUGUCAUACAGCAUAAAGACAGUUGGCACCUUCUUGUGAAAUAUUAUGCCCAGUGGCGCUC